rnacentral:rRNA from 1 species
CCUACGGGGUGCAGCAGUGAGGAAUAUUGGUCAAUGGACGCAAGUCUGAACCAGCCAUGCCGCGUGCAGGAAGACGGCUCUAUGAGUUGUAAACUGCUUUUGUACGAGGGUAAACGCAGAUACGCGUAUCUGUCUGAAAGUAUCGUACGAAUAAGGAUCGGCUAACUCCGUGCCAGCAGCCGCGGUAAUACGGAGGAUUCAAGCGUUAUCCGGAUUUAUGGGGUUGAAAGGGUGCGUAGUCGGUCGGAUAAGUUAGAGGUGAAAGCCCGAGGUUCAACUUCGGAAUUGCCUCUGAUACUGUUCGGCUAGAGGGUAGUGGCGGUAGGCGGAAUGUAUGGUGGAGGGGUGAAAUGCUUAGAGAUCAUACAGAACACCGAUUGCGAAGGCGGCUUAC